UGUGAUAUAUUGAUAUAAUAGGAUCUAAUAAUAUAAAAGUGCUUGAGGAAAGAGUUGGCCACAGAUAGUGAGACUCAGAGUUAAAAUUCAGUGCAAUCAACACUUUCCUUUCAACAUUCGACAAAUGACAACCUUCAUAAUGUCCUCAUUCACAAUCCCAUAGAUUUUAAAUGUAAUUAACAUUCUAAUGAAUUCUUUACACUGACCAGAUUUUCUCAGCCUUCAUGUACAAUUAAGAGUCAUGAUCAUUACUUCUGUUUAUUAUUAUACUAAUAUUACGAAUUCUGUAAAACCU